UCAGGAUGAACGCUAGCUACAGGCUUAACACAUGCAAGUCGAGGGGUAGCAGGGUAGCAAUACCGCUGACGACCGGCGCACGGGUGAGUAACACGUAUCCAACCUUCCCAUAACUCAGGGAUAGCCUUUCGAAAGAAAGAUUAAUACCUGAUAGUACUUUUUCAAGGCAUCUUGAGAAAGUUAAAGAUUUAUUGGUUAUGGAUGGGGAUGCGUUCCAUUAGAUAGUUGGUGAGGUAACGGCUCACCAAGUCUUCGAUGGAUAGGGGUUCUGAGAGGAAGGUCCCCCACAUUGGUACUGAGACACGGACCAAACUCCUACGGGAGGCAGCAGUGGGGAAUAUUGGUCAAUGGGCGAGAGCCUGAACCAGCCAAGUAGCGUGAAGGAAUGAAGGUCCUAUGGAUUGUAAACUUCUUUUAUAGUAGAAUAAAGUGAUCCACGUGUGGAUUUUUGUAUGUAUACUAUGAAUAAGGAUCGGCUAACUCCGUGCCAGCCGCCGC
rnacentral:rRNA from 1 species